rnacentral:lncRNA from 1 species
AAACUAAUAAAAUAGAAUAUAAAAAAUAAAUUAUUAAAAAUUAAUUUAAACUCACUAGAUCUAUCAGAUUAGAAUGAGAAAAUAGCAAAGAAAAGGAUGACAAAAAUUAGAAAAAAAGUUAAUACCUUUGGAUUCUCUUGGUUGUUUUUUUAAUCCUAUUUCACGAUGAGGCCACCAGCUCGUCACUUAGUUAGCAUCGGCCA